rnacentral:sRNA from 1 species
UCCCAGGUUCAAGCGAUUCUUCUGCCUCAGCCCCUCAAGUAGCUGGGACUACAGGCACACACCACCACGCCUGACUAACUUUUUGUAUUUUUUUGUAGAGGCGGGGUUUCACCAUGUUGCCCAGACUGGUCUUGAACUCCUGAGCUUAAGCAAUCCACCUGCCUCGGCCUCCCAAAGUAUUGGGAUUACAGGUGUGAGCCACCGCAUCCGGCCUCAUGUUCUUUUUCAUUAAAGAGAGAAAUCAACUAUUCAGGACCGGCCCCCACCUUUCCUCAGGAGUCAUUUCUGUUCUGCACAGGCCUGCUGAACUGGGUGCUUUAUAUAGGGCACUGUCAUCUCUCAAGUACCCAUCGUGGAGGGUACGGACCCCACAUGAGGGUGAGGCUCUCUGCACACUCCAGAGUGAGGACUUUAAUAAUCUAGUGGACUGUACAUGUUGGGAGGGGAAGAGCGGGGUGCCGAGGGUCUGGAGGGAGAAGAAUUGACUUCCCCUUUUGCUCUUGGAGUUAAGCAGAAAUCUAAA